CUUCGACCUGAGCUCA
rnacentral:rRNA from 1 species